UGGUAGAAUGAUUAAAGCCUUCGGGUGGUAACAGACGGGCAUGCGUAGGAUUAGCUAGUUGGUGAGGUAACGGCCCACCAAGGCGACGAUCCUUAGGGGUUCUGAGAGGAAGGUCCCCCACACUGGCACUGAGAUACGGGCCAGACUCCUACGGGAGGCAGCAGUAGGGAAUAUUGGUCAAUGGGCGAGAGCCUGAACCAGCCAUGCCGCGUGCAGGAAGACGGCGUUCUGCGUUGUAAACUGCUUUUAUCUGGGAAGAAAAAGCCCUUGCGAGGGAAAUUGCCGGUACCAGAGGAAUAAGCACCGGCUAACUCCGUGCCAGCAGCCGCGGUAAUACGGAGGGUGCAAGCGUUGUCCGGAUUUAUUGGGUUUAAAGGGUGCGUAGGCGGCUGAUUAAGUCAGCGGUGAAAGUUUUCGGCUCAACCGAGAGACUGCCGUUGAUACUGGUUGGCUUGAGUUAUGGAGGGGUACAUGGAAUUUAUGGUGUAGCGGUGAAAUGCAUAGAUACCAUAAGGAACACCGAUAGCGAAGGCUUGUACUGGCCAUAAACUGACGCUGAGGCACGAAAGCGUGGGUAGCGAACAGGAUUAGAUACCCUGGUAGUCCACGCCGUAAACGAUGAUCACUCGCUUUUAAGUACGUAGUACUGUGAGGCCAAGCGAAAGCGUUUAGUGAUCCACCUGGGGAGUACGGUCGCAAGAUUGGAAACUCAAGGAAUUUGACGGGGUCCGCACAAGCGGUGGAGCAUGUGGUUUAAUUCGAUGAUACGCGAGGAACUUUACCGGGCUAGAUGUGAAGGAUGAUCAGAGAUGUGUCAUCAGCAUGACUGAAACAAGUGCUGCUGGCUGUCGU
rnacentral:rRNA from 1 species